ACCUUCAUGGUGUAAGGGUCAGUACGCUCGACGCGUAACCGAGAGGUCCGUGGUUCGAUUCCCAGCGAAGGUG
rnacentral:tRNA from 1 species